AUUGAACGCUGGUGGCAUGCCUAACACAUGCAAGUCGAACGAUGCCUUCGGGCAUAGUGGCGCACGGGUGCGUAACGCGUGGGAAUCUGCCCUUGGCUUCGGAAUAACAGUUAGAAAUGACUGCUAAUACCGGAUGAUGUCCCCCUGAGAGAUCUUGGGGACCAAAGAUUUAUCGGCCAGGGAUGAGCCCGCGUAGGAUUAGGUAGUUGGUGGGGUAAAGGCCUACCAAGCCGACGAUCCUUAGCUGGUUUGAGAGAACGACCAGCCACACUGGAACUGAGACACGGUCCAGACUCCUACGGGAGGCAGCAGUAGGGAAUAUUGGACAAUGGGGGCAACCCUGAUCCGGCGACGCCGCGUGAGUGAUGAAGGCCUUCGGGUCGUAAAGCUCUGUUGCAGGGGAAAAACACAAUGAUGGUACCCUGCGAGGAAGGAUCGGCUAACUUCGUGCCAGCCGCCGCCGUAA
rnacentral:rRNA from 1 species